GACAGAGGGUGCAAACGUUGUUCGGAAUUACUGGGCGUAAAGCGCGUGUAGGCGGCUAUGUAAGUCGGGCGUGAAAUCCCACGGCUCAACCGUGGAAGUGCACCCGAAACUGCGUAGCUAGAGUCCUGGAGAGGAAGGUGGAAUGCUUGGUGUAGAGGUGAAAUUCGUAGAUAUCAAGCGGAACACCGGUGGCGAAGGCGGCCUUCUGGACAGUGACUGACGCUGAGACGCGAAAGCUAGGGGAGCGAACGGGG
rnacentral:rRNA from 1 species